GUAGGUGGCAAGCGUUGUCCGGAAUUAUUGGGCGUAAAGCGCGCGCAGGGCGGUCCUUUAAGUCUGAUGUGAAAAGCCCACGCUCAACCGUGGAGGGUCAUUGGAAACUGGGGGACUUGAGUACAGAAGAGGAAAGCGGAAUUCCAAGUGUGCGGUGAAAUGCGUAGAGAUUUGGAGGAACACCAGUGGCGAAGGCGGCCUUCUGGUCUGUAACUGACGCUGAGGCGCGAAAGCGUGGGGAGCAAACAGGAUUAGAUACCCUGGUAGUCCACGCCGUAAACGAUGAGUGCUAAUGUUAGGGGGUUUCCGCCCCUUAGUGCUGCAGCUAACGCAUUAAGCACUCCGCCUGGGGAGUACGGCCGCAAGGCUG
rnacentral:rRNA from 1 species